UACGUAGGGAGCAAGCGUUGUCCGGAAUCAUUGGGCGUAAAGCGCGCGUAGGCGGCCCGAUAAGUCCGCUGUGAAAGUCAACGGCUCAACUGUUGGAUGCCGGUGGAUACUGUCGGGCUAGAGUACGGAAGAGGCAAGUGGAAUUCCUGGUGUAGCGGUGGAAUGCGCAGAUAUCUGGAGGAACACCGGUGGCGAAGGCGGCAUCCUGGACCGGUAUUGGACGCUGAGGCGCGAAAGCCAGGGGAGCAAAGCAGG
rnacentral:rRNA from 1 species